CUCUCGCUUCUCCAUUCGCAACUCUCCCUUCGGCCCUUCUAAAAUCCCUCCCCACAGCAGAAUAUCACAAUACAGCCUGAGGAAAAAACACGAAAUCCACCGGAAACCCACCGAAAAUCCAGCAGAAUAUCCCCUGUUUUUCUAUCGUCACAGGAAACCCAGCGGUCAUCCCCUUUCCCUCUUCGGUUUGCUGCAACACGAGACACCAAGAGAGACAGAAAGGGAACGAGAGAGAGAGGCUAGGCCGAGAUAGAAGCGGCGCACAAUGGUGACGAUGGUGAAGCUAUUGGAAGCAAGAAAAAGGACGUUUGGAAAGGACUUUGGAAAGGACUCGGGUUGAACUCCAAGACCCUGGAGAUUCAGUGCUUUUGUUGGAGGUUCGAGCAGAUCUUCAAAAGAAAGAGAAGAAGCUGAGAGACAUCUUGAGGAGUGGAUGCUGCAUGUUAAAGAGGUUCCAAAAGUGUCAAGAAGACGGCAUAGAUCACCAUUUCUUAUUCUCUCAAGUCGACGUGAAAUUAGCGUCGAGGGUCUUAAACAUGUCUAGGAUUACAUCCGACCAACUAGUUUGGUGUCGCAGUAAAUUAAGUCAGAUUGGUUUUGUGAACAAAAAGAUGCAUGUAGAACCAUCCUUCUUGCUUUUUCCAUGUUGACAGCAUUAGCUUUGUCACGGCACACAUGUACACAAUAGAUAUUAGAUAGA